CUAGGUGCUGUUGUUCCUUGCCAGAUUGAUGUGCCUUGUGCCUUCUCUCCAGCUCUCGUUCUCGUGUUCCAUAGUCCUGCCUGCCUCAGCGUGUUUCUCAACCUCCUGCCCAUUUUUCUGACCUCGCCAAAGCCUGAUGAUUUUUGUCAUUUUGAUUAUUAUUAACUG